rnacentral:rRNA from 1 species
AUACGGAGGAUGCGAGCGUUAUCCGGAUUUAUUGGGUUUAAAGGGAGCGUAGGUGGGAUAUUAAGUCAGCUGUGAAAGUUUGGGGCUCGACCUUAAAAUUGCAGUUGAUACUGGUUUCCUUGAGUACGGUACAGGUGGGCGGAAUUCGUGGUGUAGCGGUGAAAUGCUUAGAUAUCACGAAGAACUCCGAUCGCGAAGGCAGCUCACCGGGCCGGAACUGACACUGAUGCUCGAAAGUGCGGGUAUCAAACAGGAUUAGAUACCCUGGUAGUCCGCGCAGUAAACGAUGAAUACUCGCUGUUUGCGAUACACGGUAAGCGGCCAAGCGAAAGCGUUAAGUAUUCCACCUGGGGAGUACGCCGGCAACGGUGAAACUCAAAUGAAUUGGCGGGG